CCCAAUGGGUAGGAUAGUGGCCUNCCAUGGUUUCAACGGGUAACGGGGAAUAAGGGUUCGAUUCCGGAGAGGGAGCCUGAGAAACGGCUACCACAUCCAAGGAAGGCAGCAGGCGCGCAAAUUACCCAAUCCCGACACGGGGAGGUAGUGACAAUAAAUAACGAUACAGGGCCCUUUCGGGUCUUGUAAUUGGAAUGAGUACAAUGUAAAUACCUUAACGAGGAACAAUUGGAGGGCAAGUCUGGUGCCAGCAGCCGCGGUAAUUCCAGCUCCAAAAGCGUAUAUUAAAGUUGUUGCAGUUAAAAAGCUCGUAGUUGAACCUUGGGCUUGGUUGGCCGGUCCAUCUUUNUGAUGCGUACUGGACCCAACCGAGCCUUUCCUUNUGGCUAGCCUUUUGGCGAACCAGGACUUUUACUUUGAAAAAAUUAGAGUGUUCAAAGCAGGCCUUUGCUCGAAUAUAUUAGCAUGGAAUAAUAGAAUAGGACGUUAUGGUUCUAUUUUGUUGGUUUCUAGGACCAUCGUAAUGAUUAAUAGGGACGGUCGGGGGUAUCAGUAUUCAGUUGUCAGAGGUGAAAUUCUUGGAUUUACUGAAGACUAACUACUGCGAAAGCAUUUACCAANGACGUUUUGGUUUUUCCCAAAGGG
rnacentral:rRNA from 1 species